rnacentral:rRNA from 1 species
CCCUUAGAUGUUCUGGGCUGCACGCGCGCUACACUGAAGCUAUCAACACGUUUUCCCUCCCUGAGAAGGGCGGGUAACCUUUUGAAUCAGCUUCGUGGUAGGGAUCGGGGCUUGCAAUUGUUCCCCGUGAACCAGGAAUUCCUAGUAGACGCGAGUCAUAAGCUCGCAUCGAUUAAGUCCCUGCCCUUUGUACACACCGCCCGUCGCUCCUACCGAUUGAAUGUUCCGAUGAAUACCAUGGACUGAGAGUAUGAAUGGGUUCGCCUAUUUCUGCUUCUCGGGAAGUGGAGUAAAUCUUAACAUUUAGAGGAAGGAGAAGUCGUAACA